UAGUUUUUAUAAAAAUUUAUCUUUUUCUUCAGAUACGCAAUCCAGAAAGCGGUAUAUGCUUAGAUACUUUAGGGAAGCAAGAAGGAGCGCCAGUAGGAUUGUAUGCUUGUCAUGGUCAAGGAGGAAAUCAGUAUUAUACGUACAACAAUAAAGGUGAAAUAAAAGCGGAAGAUAAUUGCAUGGAUUUUAACGGUCACGAUCUUUAUAUUAGAGAAUGCGAUGGAUUAGGUUUAAAUCAAAAGUGGACUUACAAGAACCAGCGUAUUUUAAACGAUCGUUUCAAUAUGUGUUUGCAAAUUAAAGGAACUAAGUAUGCAAGUGUAGGACCAUGCCUUAAUGUAAAAUUUCAGGAGUGGUCAUUUAACAAAAUUGAUGACAUGGCAAGGUGAUAAAUAAUGAAAUGUUGAAAAAAGAAAGUGAUGCAAUAUGUU
rnacentral:lncRNA from 1 species